rfam:Glycine max cultivar Williams 82 chromosome 7, whole genome shotgun sequence.
UUUUUAUUGGAUAAUGACUGUCACGUAUGUUUUGAUUGGAUGUCAACUACAUGAAAGAUGAAAUUCAUUGUUGUUUUCAUUAAAUCAGAACAUGAUACGUGACAACAUCACUU